rnacentral:rRNA from 1 species
AGAGUUUGAUCCUGGCUCAGAGCGAACGCUGGCGGCAGGCCUAACACAUGCAAGUCGAGCGAGAAAGUUCCUUCGGGAAUGAUUAAAGCGGCGGACGGGUGCGUACAACAUGGAUAACCUACCUUAAGGUCCGGGAUAACCUCGGGAAACCGAAGCUAAUACCGGAUAAGACCACAUUAUCUGCGGAUAAAGGGGUAAAAGUUUUUCGCCUUUUGAUGGGUCCAUGCUCCAUCAGGUUGUUGGUGAGGUAAAAGCUCACCAAGCCGAAGACGGAUAGCCGGCCUUAGCGGGUGAUCGGCCACACGGGGACUGAGACACGGCCCCGACUCCUACGGGAGGCAGCAGUGGGGAAUAUUGGGCAAUGGGCGAAAGCCUGACCCAGCCAUGCCGCGUGAAGGAUGAAGGCCUUUGGGUCGUAAACUUCUGUCAGGAGGGACGAGGGACUUCGGUCUUGACGUACCCCCAGAGAAGCCCCGCUAACU